UGUGUGUGUGUGUGUGUGUGUGUGAAGUUUUAGCUCGCUCUGGCUGCCUGAUGACACACACACACACGCACGCACACACUUACUACUUGAUCAGUGUUGCACGGCGCCUCUAAGUGUUUCAUUAAACCGCUGAAAAAAAAAAUAAAUUAAGAAAAUUGAAGCCUUCUCUCAGACAUGAACAAAGAAGAGCAAUUCUUGACAAACAAACAAACAAACAAACAAACAAGGACAGCGUUGAGUCUCGCAGGUCACGCCAGCCUCUCGGAAACUGUUGCUUGCUUCACCCGGCAAUUGUGAACCACCAAGCAAAAACUGAGCCACCCUAUUGAUCGACAGGGGAUCACCAUCAGCCCUCCCAUUGGCCCAGAGCUUCGUGGAUUGUGAUUGGACGGCUGGCUGGCUGACCUGACUUGACCUGACCUCAACUGAGCCAACAUGAUUUACGUUUUCCUCGUUGACACUGGCACCAUGAUGACCUUUGACAUGAACCUGGCACUAGAGAGUGUUGAGGUGGUGAAGGGUGCAAUACACAGUGUUGUCAAGGUGCCCCCAGACAAGCAGGUGCUGCUGGCCUCUGGGGGUGAAACACUGGACUCCUGCAAGUGGGUGUGUCAUUACUCGGCCGGCACAGACUCGUCCCCCAUCUUUCUGUUCUCCAAGGUGGCCAUUGAGGGAGCAGCCCCCCAACCCCCUCUGUGCAGCCUGGCGGGGACGGCGACCUCAGGGCACAGGUGGAGGGGUGCCUCAACAUGCCAGCCACCUACAACAGUGUGGUGGCGCGGACACAGUUAGCGCAGCAGUUUUACGAGCACGCCAGUGAGGUCACCAGAACGUGCCGCCAGCUUGUUCACAACCAGCAUCUGCAGCAACAAGGCUGGGCAGUAGUGUUGGGCAACUUGGAAGACGUUGUGGCAGCCUUCAGAGCAAGACAUGAUGCAUUCCAGCAAAACUUUGUAAUCUCAGUGGCCGGGAGGAGAAGGUCGCCCUGCUUCACUUUUUUGAAGAGGACCUGAAGCUACUGGCAAGGAUUCCAGUCUUCCCUGAACUCUUGGGGAAGACACAAGAAGAAGAGGAAGAGGAGGAAGCUGGGAAGAAGAGGAGGACAAGCACAGCACAGAAGAAAGAGGAGGAGGAAGAGAAGGAAGAGGAGGAGGAGGAGGAGGAAGAAGAGGAAGAGCAUGAGAAGGAGAAGAGGGCAGGAGGAGAAGGAGAAAAAAGAGAAACACAGCAGCAGACUCGGGUACUGUUACAGCUCUGCUCCCUCCUACAGGACACGUUCCCAUCACCUUCACGUCCUGGACACGUGCACAAACUUGUGCCUGGGCAGUCUCACUGCAGCAACUGCCAGUGCUGUGGCUGGGUGGCAGGAGGGAGGGACAAGCUGGCCACCCUCUCUGUCACCACCUGCUGGGGAAAGACCACCAUUAUCAUCAUCAUCUUGGUUUUCCUUUUUUGUUUUCUUUCACAAUUUACAAGGAAUAUUAACAGUUUGUUUUGUUAGUGUUGUCUGUUUGUUAUUAAAUGAUGUGUUGAUUGUGUUGUUGUUGUUGUUGUUUAUGUGUUAGUUGUUGUUGUGUUUUGUAUGUGUGACUGAUGAAUAAAAUAAAGGCAGUCGUGUCACACU